rnacentral:tRNA from 1 species
GGGAACAUACCUCAGUUGAUAGAGUGCUUGCCUGAUAUGCAUGAAGUCCUGGGUUCGAACUCCAGUAGUGCUU